GUGACAAGGAUAAAGUGUUGGACUCACUCAAGCGUGAGUCUCUGAGUUCCAUCCCCACUACCACAUAAACUAGAGGGGUGUGCUGGCUCUCCCCGUCUCCCUUCUCUUUUUCUCAUGUUUUAAAAAGAUCUGUGAUUCAAUUUCCUGCACCACCAUAAGCCAGAGAUAAGCAGUACUCUGGUAAGAGGAGAAAAAACAGUACAGAGGGCAGGGAGAUAGUACAGUGGCUUAUGCAACUGACUUUCAGGCCUGAGGCUCGAAGCUCCCAGGUACAACUCCUGGCACCACCAGAAACCAGAGCAGAACAGUGCUCUCUGGUCAAAAUAUUAUCAACAAUGAUAAUAAUGCACAAGACAAAGAAUGAGACAAAACCUUUCAAGAAGCACACAGGGAUUAAUAUUAAUGACCCUGCAAACCAGAACCUGGCAGGUGGAGGAAGUUUUAGAUGUUGACUGACGUCUGUAACGGAGCUAGCUCCAUUAUUUUACAAAGGGGAAACUGUCUUGGGAGAAACAGAAUGACAGAGCCGGGUGGGGGCGCACCUGGUUGAGCGCAUGCACACGUUACAGUGAGCAAGGACCCAGGUUCAAACCCCAGGUCCCCAACUGCAGGGGGAAAGCUUUGCGAGUGGUGAAGCAGGGCUGCAGGUGUCUGUCUCUUCCCCUAACUUCUCAAUUUCUGGCUUUGUCUACCCUAUAAAUAUUAUCACUUGUAGGCAAUAUUCUAUCUCUGUUACUUUAAAAAAGAAAAAUAAAAUAACACAGGGGAGUCGGGCGGUAUCACAGCGGGUACAAGGACGGGCGGAAGGAUCCCAGUUCGAGCCCUGGCUCCCCACCUGCAGGGGAGUCGCUUCACAGGUGGUGAAGCAGGUCUGCAGGUGUCUGUCUUUCACUCCCCGCCUCUGUCUUCCCUUCCUGUUUCCAUUUCUCUCUGUCCUAUCCAACAACAACAAUAAUAGCUGCAACAAUAAAACAACUAGGAAAACAAAAGGGAAUAAGUAAAUAAAAAAUUAAGAUAUAAAAACAAAAUGACUCGCUCAAGGCAGACACACUGCGGUGGGACAGAAUUCAGCCGCGGAUCCCACAUCCGUUCUCUCGAGUCACCCGGCAGGUACAACCAGGCGGGAAGAAAAGACUCGAAUGUGAUGACGUGUCGGAGUACAAUGCGGCUGCGCAAAGGGUUUCGACAACUGAACGUCCUGGAGCGCCGCCUGGUGGGAGAAAAGCUGCCAAGACGCCCGGAAGCCGCGGCGCGGGUGCGAGGGGAACGUGACUGACGUCAUCUCAUGGAGGCGAGGGGGCGACUGCUGCGUGACCGGCGUGGCCUGCCCAUCCGCUCACGUCGUUCUCUUCCGCCUCCUCGUCUUCCCCUUUGUGGCAGUGUGGAGGCUUGGUUUUUAUGUUUAUUUCAAUUUAUAGUCCUGUCAUAUUUUGAAUUUAUCAAAAUAUUACUUGUUACAGAAAAAUUAAAAUAAAACCGAGUUCCAGUA